rnacentral:rRNA from 1 species
UACGUAGGGUCGCGAGCGUUGUCCGGAAUUACUGGGCGUAAAGAGCUCGUAGGUGGUUUGUCGCGUUGUUCGUGAAAACUCACAGCUUAACUGUGGGCGUGCGGGCGAUACGGGCAGACUGGAGUACUGCAGGGGAGACUGGAAUUCCUGGUGUAGCGGUGGAAUGCGCAGAUAUCAGGAGGAACACCGGUGGCGAAGGCGGGUCUCUGGGCAGUAACUGACGCUGAGGAGCGAAAGCGUGGGGAGCAAACAGG